AGUCUCACCUCCCCACAGCCUGGGAAUGUACCAGACAGAAGCCUGGAACCUGCAGCUCCUCUCCCACAUGAGUGGCAGGGGCCUACGCGCUUUUUCAGAUGCAUUAGCAGGGAGCUGGGUUGGAAGGGGAGCACUGCUGGGAUGCCAGUCUUGAAGGCACUCAUCAGUCUGGCCUCCAGUUUCCUUCUUUUUAGUCUGAGUAAUAUUCUAUUGUGUGAACACUCCACAUUUAUUUUUAUCCAUUUGUCAGUGAGAUUUCUUACUCUGAGGUGAGAUUUUCAAAAAACUUUUUCUUGCCAAAAGGUGUAAGGAGCUUGACCAGGGUUCUGGUGCCUUUAAGGUUAGGUGAACUGAUUUUUCUCCCAUUGUACUUUUCAAACAGUGGAUGCUCUUCUGGUGCUAUUUAAGAGUGUCAUUUUCUGUCUGGUGUGGAGCUGAGUUUGUUCUUGUUAAUCUUUACUUCCAGCCCCAGCAUGGGAUUUACAGAAGACACAGUGCCGCUUCAGGCUCGCCCUUUUAUGAGAAGCCAUGUUUGCCAGUUCUUCUGCCACUUGUCUUCCCUUUGGCCUGAGUCUGUUCAGCUAUGUGUGUAGGGCCGGACAUAUCUGAGUGUCCUCCAGGUUCCUGUUGUUCACUUCCCUCACCGUCUGUGAUCUGCCUGCCACCCUCUCGGUCCCUCCUCGGUCCCUGCUCACUUAUUCCUCUGGUUCCCUUUCUGGCAUCUUCUGGGCCUUCGGUAGGGAGAUUUGUCACUCUGGUAGCUUAUGUCCGUUCAGUCAUUGUAA